UCGGGAAUUUUGGGCAAUGGGCGAAAGCCUGACCCAGCAACGCCGCGUGUGUGAAGAAGGUCUUCGGAUUGUAAAGCACUUUAAGUUGGGAGGAAGGGCAGUUACCUAAUACGUAUCUGUUUUGACGUUACCGACAGAAUAAGCACCGGCUAACUCUGUGCCAGCAGCCGCGGUAAUACAGAGGGUGCAAGCGUUAAUCGGAAUUACUGGGCGUAAAGCGCGCGUAGGUGGUUUGUUAAGUUGGAUGUGAAAUCCCCGGGCUCAACCUGGGAACUGCAUUCAAAACUGACAAGCUAGAGUAUGGUAGAGGGUGGUGGAAUUUCCUGUGUAGCGGUGAAAUGCGUAGAUAUAGGAAGGAACACCAGUGGCGAAGGCGACCACCUGGACUGAUACUGACACUGAGGUGCGAAAGCGUGGGGAGCAAACAGGAUUAGAUACCCCUGUAGUCCCUGAGCGGGCUGGCAAGGCGCAU
rnacentral:rRNA from 1 species